UGUCUGGUAGUAUAGUGGUUAGUAUCCGCGCCUGUCACGUGCGAGACCCGGGUUCAAUUCCCGGCUAGAGAG
rfam:Pristionchus pacificus strain PS312 contig12483, whole genome shotgun sequence.